rnacentral:rRNA from 1 species
UACGGAGGGGACUAGCGUUGUUCGGAAUUACUGGGCGUAAAGCGCACGUAGGCGGAUUUGUUAGUCAGGGGUGAAAUCCCGAGGCUCAACCUCGGAACUGCCUUCGAUACUGCAAAUCUCGAGUCCGGAAGAGGUGAGUGGAAUUCCUAGUGUAGAGGUGAAAUUCGUAGAUAUUAGGAAGAACACCAGUGGCGAAAGCGACUUCCUGGACCAGUACCGACGUUCAGGCACGAAAGCGUGGGGAGCAAACAGG